AUUGAACGCUGGCGGCAGGCCUAACACAUGCAAGUCGAACGAGUGGCGGACGGGUGAGUAAUGUCUGGGAAACUGCCUGAUGGAGGGGGAUAACUACUGGAAACGGUAGCUAAUACCGCAUACCAUCGGAUGUGCCCAGAUGGGAUUAGCUAGUAGGUGGGGUAACGGCUCACCUAGGCGACGAUCCCUAGCUGGUCUGAGAGGAUGACACGCCAAACUGGAACUGUGACAAGGUACAGACGUCGACGGGAGGCAGCAGUGGGGAAUAUUGCAAAAUGGGCGCAAGACGGAUGAAGCCAUGACGCGUGGAUGAAGAAGGCCUUAGGGUUGUAAAGUACUUGCAGCGGGGAGGUGUUACCCGCAGAAGAAGCACCGGCUAACUCCGUGACAGCAGCCGAGGUAAUUC
rnacentral:rRNA from 1 species